rnacentral:rRNA from 1 species
GCAUAUCAAUAAGCGGAGGAAAAGAAACCAACAGGGAUUACCUCAGUAACGGCGAGUGAAGCGGUAAAAGCUCAAAUUUGAAAUCUGGCUCUUUUAGAGUCCGAAUUGUAAUUUGUAGAAGAUGCUUCGGGUGUGGUUCCGGUCUAAGUUCCUUGGAACAGGACGUCAUAGAGGGUGAGAAUCCCGUAUGUGACUGGAUACCUAUGCUCAUGUGAAGCUCUUUCGACGAGUCGAGUUGUUUGGGAAUGCAGCUCAAAAUGGGAGGUAUAUUUCUUCUAAAGCUAAAUAUUGGCCAGAGACCGAUAGCGCACAAGUAGAGUGAUCGAAAGAUGAAAAGCACUUUGGAAAGAGAGUUAAACAGUACGUGAAAUUGUUGAAAGGGAAGCGCUUGCAAUCAGACUUGCACUUGGUGUUCAUCAGGGUCUCGUACCCUGUGUACUUCAUCAAGUUCAGGCCAGCAUCAGUUUGAGUGGUUAGAUAAAGGCUUAGAGAAUGUGGCCCUCUUCGGGGGGUGUUAUAGCUCUAGGUGCAAUGUAGCCUACUUGGACUGAGGACCGCGCUUCGGCUAGGAUGCUGGCGUAAUGGUUGUAAGCGACCCGUCUUGAAACACGGACCAAGGAGUGUACCUAAUAUGCGAGUGUUUGGGUGUUAAACCCAUACGCGUAAUGAAAGUGAACGCUGGUGAGAACCCUUAAGGGUGCAUCAUCGACCGAUCUUGAUGUCUUCGGAUGGAUUUGAGUAAGAGCAUAUUGGGUGCGACCCGAAAGAUGGUGAUCUAUACGUGAAUAGGGUGAAGCCAGAGGAAACUCUGGUGGAGGCUCGCAGCGGUUCUGACGUGCAAAUCGAUCGUCAAAUUUGCGUAUAGGGGCGAAAGACUAAUCGAACCAUCUAGUAGCUGGUUCCUGCCGAG